AUGGUGGCCUUGAACUUUUCCUCGGCGAUGCCUUCAAGAAGGGAACACCGCAUAACAGCGCCGUCACCGCCGGCCUUGGCAGCUAGCCAAAGGCAGGUUUUCACCCAGAUCUGUUCGAAGAGCCUCCAUCAAGCAUCGUGUGCACGGAUCGCCCAAACCCGCGCCGCUCGCCGGGACCAAGCUAGAUCCGACAGAGCACGCAACCACCGGACGCACCUCCUCCCGCCAGCCCUGCCGCCAAAGCACCAGCAGCCGCGCCGCCAGGAUGCAGCCACCGCGGCACUGCCAGCCAUCCCCGCCGCCGCAUCCAGAAAGGGCGCGGUGCUCAGAUCUGGCCGCCUGCCCCGGCCGACCGCGACCCCCACCAUGUGCCGGGGCCAGCCCGACGACACCGCCCAGGACCGCCGCUGCACCCGGCCGCCGGACCUCGCAGAUCGGCGCGCGCAGCCGCCGCACCCAGCGAGGAGGGAAGGAGAAGAAAGGAGGGCGCCCAGGAAGAAGCCCCGUCGCCGCCCUCACUGGAGCCCGCCUGGCUUCGCCGGCGGAGCGCCUCCGGCAGCGGCGAGACGGGAAGGGGUGAGGGGAAGGCCCGGCGGCGCGCGAGGGAGUCGCCCCCCGAGUCGCCAGAGGAGGGCGACGCGGGGGUGUUUUGAGGCCGGCGACGGGCGUCGCUUCUGGGACGUGAAGGUGGUCUUGGACUCCGGCGGCUACAUGUACUUAGGGCGCGGCUGGGAGCAGUUCACGCGUGCGCACGACCUGCGGCUCAGGUACUUCCUCGUGUUCACCUUCGACGGCGACGCCGUGCUCACCCUGAAGGUGUUCGACGUGAGCAUGUGCCAAAGGCACUACAAGCACGACGACGACAUGAGCACUGUGAGCAGCAGCGACGGUGACAGUGGGAACAACAACAGCAGCGUGGGUGACAGUGGAAGCAACAACGGCAGCGUCGGUGACAGCGGCAGCAACAGCAGCAGCACGGCGGAGAUGGACGCCGAGAACGGGCCGGCGUCGCAGUUCAGCCCCAUGCUAAGGAAAUGCAACCUGAACGUGUCGGUGGACUUCCAGCUCGCGCACGGGUACGCGGAGAGGAGCAAGGUGGAGCUGCGGAUGCGCGGCAAGUCGUGGCCCGUGCACCUGAAGCACAACCCCAACACGGGUGGCAGGCCCCGUGCGUGGUUCAGGUACGGGUGGCACCAGUUCUGCGUCGACAACAGCCUCGGCGAGGGAGAUACCUGCUUCUUCCGAGCGAUCUGCCAAGGGAGCGCCAGCACCGGCGGCGAGGACCACCUAACUCAGGGUGGAGGUGAGGAAGCGGGACGGCAGAUUCCUGGUCUGAGGCGAGGGCCUCCGUUGCAUGCAUCAGCCUGGUUGGCCGGCGUGACCUCGUUCGCGGCCAUGCAUGGUCAUGGUUUUGCCUCAUCCGUCCCUCAUCUGCUUUCCACGCAACUUUCUUCCCCUGUGAUUCGAGUCCUGUGCAUGUACCACGCAGUGCAGUGA
rnacentral:rRNA from 1 species